rnacentral:rRNA from 1 species
GAUGAACGCUGGCGGCGUGCCUAAUACAUGCAAGUCGAGCGGAAAGGCCUCUUCGGAGGUACUCGAGCGGCGGACGGCAGAGUAACGCGUAGGAACAUACCCCAAACUGAGGGAUAACUGCCCGAAAGGGUGGCUAAUACCGCAUGUGAUCUUCGGAUUAAAGCUUCGGCGGUUUGGGAAUGGCCUGCGUUCGAUUAGCUAGUUGGUGAGGUAAAGGCUCACCAAGGCGACGAUCGAUAACUGGUCUGAGAGGAUGAUCAGUCUGACUGGAACUGAGACACGGUCCAGACUCCUACGGGAGGCAGCAGUAGGGAAUUUUCCACAAUGGGCGAAAGCCUGAUGGAGCAACGCCGCGUGCAGGAUGAAGGCCCUUGGGUCGUAAACUGGCUUUUAAUGUGAGAAGAAUAUGACGGUAACGCAUGAAUAAAGGGUCGGCUAACUACGUGCCAGCAGCCGCGGUAAU